UACGGCUACAUCACGUUGAAACCCCUGUUCCCGGACGAUCACCGAAGCUAAGCAACGCCGAUCCUGGUCGGUACUUAGAUGGGUAACCGUUUGGGGAUACCAAGUGCUGUAAG